GGCGAAGGAGCAGGAGUCUCACCUGAUAGAGAAUGACGACCAUCACAAAUGGACACCUGCUACACCGGGGAGCUUGAAGGGCGUUGUUAGAUCAUUUAGAAAAUUACAAGGUGGUAAAGGUGUCAAACGAGCACGAGGUUCACCUCAUGGAAAGUGACAAUACUAAAAUACCGACGCUCAUGGACAUCUGCAACACCGGGGGCUUGCAGGUACAUUGCCGGCCUUCAAGAAAUGUAUACGCUUUUCUUGAAGGAACUUAUACCGUUCGGAAAAACCGCCACCGAAAGCUGGCUCCACAGAGAUUGGGCGAGACAGAGAAAAUGCCUUUAAAACCGCUGUUGUGGACUUUCGGACAUUUAGGUGUAAAUAAUCUUAAAAAUUGGAAGAUUUUUGUCAAUGAAUAAGAUGUAAUGCUUGUAUGUUGAAUAAAUAUAUUUGGAUUUUGAACACGCACCAUACAAAAGUC